UACGUAGGGUGCAGGCGUUAAUCGGAAUUACUGGGCGUAAAGCGUGCGCAGGCGGUUUGCUAAGACAGGUGUGAAAUCCCCCGGGCUUAACCUGGGAACUGCGCUUGUUACUGGCAGGCUUGAGUGUGGCAGAGGGGGGGUGGAAUUCCACGUGUAGCAGUGAAAUGCGUAGAGAUGUGGAGGAACACCGAUGGCGAAGGCAGCCCCCUGGGCUAACACUGACGCUCAUGCACGAAAGCGUGGGGAGCAAACAGG
rnacentral:rRNA from 1 species